rnacentral:rRNA from 1 species
GGGGAGUACAGUCGCAAGACCGAAACUCAAAGGAAUUGACGGGGGCUUGCACAAGCGGUGGAGCAUGUGGUUUAAUUCGAUACAACACGCAAAACCUUACCAGCCCUUGACAUAUGAACAACAAAACCUUCCCUUAACAAGAUGGUGCUGACUUUCAUACAGGUGAUGCAUGGCUGUCGUCAGCUUGUGUCAUGAGAUGUUUGGUCAAGUCCUAUAACGAGCAAAUCCCUCGUUUUGUGUUGCUGAGGCAUGCGCCUAAGGAGAAAUUGCCACCGAGUGACAUGCCAACACUACUACUUGAUUGAGUGCCAUCAUGUAGCUGUGCUUUCAGCAAGAAUUUCACCAUUGGGAGCCGGUGCCUUUCGAAGCACUUUCAUGUGUGAACCGAAGUCGUCUUGCCCAAGACCCAUGGAGACCUACCUAUAGUGAUGUCAAAGUACCAGUGAGCAUGGAGGUUUGGUUGAAAUUGGUUACGACGAUGUCGAGUUGGCGGCGAAGGAAGACUCAGCAUGAAGGCCAGAAAAUGGUGUGGAAUGUAGUGGUAAUAGUACGCGCCCCGCUCCGAAACAAAGAAAAAGGUGCGUGCCGCACUCACGAGGGACUGCUAGUGAGAUACUGGAGGAAGGUGGGGAUGACAUCAAGUCCGCAUGGCCCUUAUGGGCUGGGCCACACAUGUGCUACAAUGGCAAUGACAAUGGGAAGCAAGGCUGUAAGGCGGAGCGAAUCCGGAAAGACUGCCUCAGUUCAGAUUGUUCUCUGCAACUCGGGAACAUGAAGUUGAAAUCGCUAGUAAUCGCGGAUCAGCAUGCCGCGGUGAAUAUGUACCCAGGCCCUGUACACACUGCCCGUCACACCCUGGGAAUUGGUUUCACCCGAAGCAUCGGACCAAUGAUCACCCAUGAAUUACCACUAGUGCCACAAAGGCCUUUGGUGGUCUUAUUGGCGCAUACCACAGUGGGUUCUUCGACUGGGGUGAAGUCGUAACAAGGUAGCCGUAGGGGAACCUGUGGAUG